rnacentral:rRNA from 1 species
UACGUAGGUGGCAAGCGUUGUCCGGAAUUAUUGGGCGUAAAGCGCGCGCAGGUGGUUUCUUAAGUCUGAUGUGAAAGCCCACGGCUCAACCGUGGAGGGUCAUUGGAAACUGGGGAACUUGAGUGCAGAAGAGGAAAGUGGAAUUCCAAGUGUAGCGGUGAAAUGCGUAGAGAUUUGGAGGAACACCAGUGGCGAAGGCGACUUCUGGUCUGUAACUGACACUGAGGCGCGAAAAGCGUGGGGAGCGAACGAG